ensembl:lncRNA
UAAUACCAUGUGUCGUUACCCGGAUGAUCGACGACGUGAUGUGUUUACGUUCUGUGAUAGUUGUUGACGAGUCCCUUGUUUGUCCUGAGCACUUAAACCGCCCGCUGUUCUUCAGACAAAUCCUCCAGGUCCGGCACUUUCUUUACUUUUCCAGCAUCUUCUGCUUAUUUGACCGCUUUCCUUUAAACAGCGACUAUAUGAUGUCGAGAUCCGUCUUUUCAAACCGAGGACGACUGAGGGACUCGACUCAUACACGACUAUUACACAAGAAUUGUGUCCGAUGGAAGAAUGAAAACACUUCUCAUCGCCACGUUACAGUGAUUCUUUCUAUCGAUAUCAAUUCCUGUCUGUUUUGACCUGUUCAACCUGAUUAAUGUGUGUUAGAAAUAAAGUGCUCAGAAAUCUGUACACCCGAACCCGAUUCAAAUAUAUUAUACUGUCAGAUUAACUUUCACAGAUUGGGAUUAGCACCUCUACUGUCUGAUUAACACGUAUUGUGUUGAAUUAUGUGUUCUUGUUGAAAUAAAGUGCAUUCACUCUGUCUUGGGGGGUUUUAGACUAGCUAGUUCUUCCUUUCGGACCCUGGGGUUGGCUAGUAAUUCUAAUUAAAUGCGUUUUUUUGCUAAUUCUAUGCUACAUUCUGUGUUAAUCGUAUGCUUAAAACAACAACAAACCAAAAAAUACCUUUUAAGUUCAACCCUAUUACUUAUUUUAACAGGGAAUUUCAGCCAGUGUUGACAAAGACACGUUGUUAAAACACCAGAGCUUAAUGACACCACAAGCAUGAAACCACACUUACAUUAAAUGUGUCUGUG